AUUGAACGCUGGCGGCAGGCUUAACACAUGCAAGUCGAACGAGUGGCGGACGGGUGAGUAAUGCUUGGGAAUCUGGCGUAUGGAGGGGGAUAACGACGGGAAACUGUCGCUAAUACCGCGUACCACAGGAUGAGCCUAAGUGGGAUUAGGUAGUUGGUGGGGUAAUGGCAUACCAACCAGACGCACUCUAGCUGGUCUGAGAGAAAGACCAGCCACACCGGGACGGAGACACGGCCCUGACUCCUACGGGAGGCAGCAGUGGGGAAUAUUGCGGAAUGGGGGCAACCUGACGCAGCCAUGCCGCGUGAAUGAAGAAGGCCUUCGGGUUGUAAAGUUCUUUCGGUGACGAGGCGUUACUCACAGAAGAAGCACCGGCUAACUACGUGCCAGCAGCCGCGGUAAUUC
rnacentral:rRNA from 1 species